rnacentral:tRNA from 1 species
GCCUGGGUGGCGGAACUGGUAGACGCAAGGGACUUAAAAUCCCUCGGUCCUCUGGGCCGUACCGGUUCGAUUCCGGUCCCAGGCACCA